rnacentral:rRNA from 1 species
AUGCUAUGUAUUGGAAAUUUGCUUUGUGUGUCAACAAAGGCCCCUUGCUCUGGUCUUGCCCCUGCCCCGUAUAUUUCUGGACUAGCCCAGUUCUCCUCUAAUUUAUUUUUAUGGGGUGAUCAUUUUUUGUGGGACUUGAUCCCUCUAGCUGCCGACAAAAAACUAGCUGCCAACACCAAGUACAUCCUAUGUAAAGGAGGCCGACCAAAACAGAAAAUAGAAGAAAACCGGAAUACAAACAUAAGUUGUAACAACCCUGCCGGAUCGAAGCAAGGGGGAAAGGGGAUCAGGAGGAAUUAG